rnacentral:lncRNA from 1 species
GUUCUGAGCUGGGAAACCUUCUACCGUGUAGUAGUCGCCACUCCCUCCGCAGGUGAAAUGGGACCAGCCUGGGACCAAGGCACCCCGAAGUAGAAUCCCCAAGGAGUCACGAGACCCUGAUGCAGACAGUCCGUCUGACUGAGUGGGAUCCAGUUGAUGGUAUCUGAUCCCUGCCUCUCGAGAGUCAAGAUGGUGAGCGACCGGCUAUGGAGCCCCUUUCUUGUAAUAGUUAAACGCCAAUUCGCUGCUCUGCCCUAUAAAUAUCCACAGGUUCCUAUGUUGAAUCAUGGGUGAAUCUUAUUAUUUGUUUGUUUGUUUGUUUGUUUGUUUGUUUGUUUGCAUCCCAAAUGCUGCCCGGUCCUGGUCGCUCCCUCACAGAGUCCCUCCUCCCAUCCCUCCUCCCUUUCUCCUCUGUAGCCUCC